rnacentral:misc_RNA from 1 species
GGGGUUUUUCUUUUUCACUUUCUCCUAAAACCCUUUAAUUUUUGUUUUGGAGAAAACUGAAGUUGGGAUUUUGAGAAGAGAAUUUCAAGAAUUCAAAGAAAAUGGUGGAAAAAAGGAAGGUAAACAAAAGGGGUUUUGUUACUGAAGAUGAUAUGUCUACUCUUUUACAAAGGUAUACAGCAUUUACGAUGUUGACACUGUUGCAAGAGGUGGGACAAGUUAAUGGAUCGAAAAUUGAUUGGAAUGAUUUGGUGAAGAAGACCGCUACUGGGAUUACGAGUGCAAGAGAGUAUCAGAUGGUGUGGC